CUCCAUUGGCCAUGUAUUCAUAGAUAAGAGCCAUGUUCUCUCCUUCGUCGCAGUACCCAACAAGACCGACCAAGUUCUUGUGAUGAACUCUAAGAAGAAGUUCUACCUAA
rnacentral:sRNA from 1 species